rnacentral:rRNA from 1 species
UGGGGAAUAUUGGACAAUGGGCGCAAGCCUGAUCCAGCCAUGCCGCGUGAGUGAUGAAGGCCCUAGGGUUGUAAAGCUCUUUCACCGGUGAAGAUAAUGACGGUAACCGGAGAAGAAGCCCCGGCUAACUUCGUGCCAGCAGCCGCGGUAAUACGAAGGGGGCUAGCGUUGUUCGGAGUUACUGGGCGUAAAGCGCACGUAGGCGGACUUUUAAGUCAGGGGUGAAAUCCCGGGGCUCAACCCCGGAACUGCCUUUGAUACUGGAAGUCUUGAGUAUGGUAGAGGUGAGUGGAAUUCCGGGUGUAGAGGUGAAAUUCGUAGAUCUUCGGAGGAACACCAGUGGCGAAGGCGGCUCACUGGACCAUUACUGACGCUGAGGUGCGAGAGCGUGGGGAGCAAACAGG